GUCACCUCUCUGUGCCAUCUUAGGUACCUAGAACUGGAGCACUACCAGAUUUCCCCAACUUGUACAGCUGGGCCCUCUUUCAACAGGCAAAGUACAACUUUAAGCACAUACUCCUGCCUGUGAAAAAGGGGACCAUAAGACCGUAAG